rnacentral:rRNA from 1 species
AUCCUGGCUCAGGAUGAACGCUAGCGACAGGCCUAACACAUGCAAGUCGAGGGGCAGCACGAAGGAAGCUUGCUUCUUGGUGGCGACCGGCGCACGGGUGCGUAACAGGUGUGCAAUCUGUCCAUAGUCGGGGGAUAGCCCAGCGAAAGCUGAAUUAAUACUCCAUGUGAAUCGAAGCCGCAUGACUUUGAUUUGAAACGCAAGGACUAUGGGUGAGCACGCUUCUGAUUAGCUAGUUGGUGGGGUAACGGCUCACCAAGGCGACGAUCAGUAGGGGUUCUGAGAGGAAGGUCCCCCCACAUUGGAACUGAGACACGGUCCAAACUCCUACGGGAGGCAGCAGUGAGGAAUAUUGGUCAAUGGGCGAGAGCCUGAACCAGCCAAGUCGCGUGAAGGAUGAAGGUUCUAUGGAUUGUAAACUUCUUUUGUCCGAGGGUAAAAAAGGUCACGUGUGACUUCUUGCAAGUAUCGGACGAAUAAGCAUCGGCUAACUCCGUGCCAGCCGCCGC